CUGAGAAGACUCCCCUCUUCUGCUGUGCAGUCGCUAACAUAGAAGAUCUGGUGGACUGUAAAACACUUUUCAAAGAUAUCCUUCACAGUCCAGCC
ensembl:misc_RNA